GCUUGCUCCCUGAUGUUAGCGGCGGACGGGUGAGUAACACGUGGGUAACCUGCCUGUAAGACUGGGAUAACUCCGGGAAACCGGGGCUAAUACCGGAUGGUUGUUUGAACCGCAUGGUUCAGACAUAAAAGGUGGCUUCGGCUACCACUUACAGAUGGACCCGCGGCGCAUUAGCUAGUUGGUGAGGUAACGGCUCACCAAGGCAACGAUGCGUAGCCGACCUGAGAGGGUGAUCGGCCACACUGGGACUGAGACACGGCCCAGACUCCUACGGGAGGCAGCAGUAGGGAAUCUUCCGCAAUGGACGAAAGUCUGACGGAGCAACGCCGCGUGAGUGAUGAAGGUUUUCGGAUCGUAAAGCUCUGUUGUUAGGGAAGAACAAGUGCCGUUCAAAUAGGGCGGCACCUUGACGGUACCUAACCAGAAAGCCACGGCUAACUACGUGCCAGCAGCCGCGGUAAUACGUAGGUGGCAAGCGUUGUCCGGAAUUAUUGGGCGUAAAGGGCUCGCAGGCGGUUUCUUAAGUCUGAUGUGAAAGCCCCCGGCUCAACCGGGGAGGGUCAUUGGAAACUGGGGAACUUGAGUGCAGAAGAGGAGAGUGGAAUUCCACGUGUAGCGGUGAAAUGCGUAGAGAUGUGGAGGAACACCA
rnacentral:rRNA from 1 species